AUGCACGCUGGCGGCGUGCCUAAUACAUGCAAGUCGAGCGAACAGACGAGGAGCUUGCUCCUCUGACGUUAGCGGCGGACGGGUGAGUAACACGUGGAUAACCUACCUAUAAGACUGGGAUAACUUCGGGAAACCGGAGCUAAUACCGGAUAAUAUAUUGAACCGCAUGGUUCAAUAGUGAAAGACGGUUUUGCUGUCACUUAUAGAUGGAUCCGCGCCGCAUUAGCUAGUUGGUAAGGUAACGGCUUACCAAGGCAACGAUGCGUAGCCGACCUGAGAGGGUGAUCGGCCACACUGGAACUGAGACACGGUCCAGACUCCUACGGGAGGCAGCAGUAGGGAAUCUUCCGCAAUGGGCGAAAGCCUGACGGAGCAACGCCGCGUGAGUGAUGAAGGUCUUCGGAUCGUAAAACUCUGUUAUUAGGGAAGAACAAAUGUGUAAGUAACUAUGCACGUCUUGACGGUACCUAAUCAGAAAGCCACGGCUAACUACGUGC
rnacentral:rRNA from 1 species